UACGUAGGGGGCAAGCGUUAUCCGGAAUCACUGGGCGUAAAGGGUGCGUAGGCGGUCUAUCAAGUCAGGGGUGAAAGGCAUUGGCUCAACCAAUGUAAGCCUUUGAAACUGAUGGACUUGAGUGCAGGAGAGGUAAGUGGAAUUCCUAGUGUAGAGGUGAAAUUCGUAGAUAUUAGGAGGAACACCAGUGGCGAAGGCGACUUACUGGACUGUAACUGACGCUGAGGCACGAAAGCGUGGGUAGCGAACAGG
rnacentral:rRNA from 1 species